CACGUAGGGUGCGAGCGUUGUCCGGAAUUAUUGGGCGUAAAGAGCUCGUAGGCGGUGUGUCGCGUCGGCCGUGAAAACCUGCAGCUUAACUGUGGGCUUGCGGUCGAUACGGGCAUCACUGGAGUUCGGUAGGGGAGACUGGAAUUCCUGGUGUAGCGGUGAAAUGCGUAGAUAUCGAGAGGAACACCUGCGGCGAAGGCGGGUUGCUGGGCUGACACUGACGCUGAGGCGCGAAAGCUAGGGGAGCGAACGGG
rnacentral:rRNA from 1 species